UCAAAGCAAACAGAAUUAAUAAUACCCACAAUAUGUAAUAACUUCAAAAGAAAAAAAAAAAAAAUACUGCUAACCCUAAAUAUGCUGCUAAAAUUCCAUAACUGAGUGCUGAAAAACGAAAGUAACUAAAAGUACCCACAUACAAGGUAAUGGCUAUGCUACUAUCAAGAAAAGGGUGUUUCUUGUUUUUUUAUUUUUUUAAAAAUUUUUUAAUUUUUUUUUAAUUUUGUUCAUAUUAAGUUGCACCUGGUGGUGGUGGCAAGGCUUGGAUUUGCUGCUGCGGUGGACGUUUACGCUUCUUUUUCUCAUAGCUGAUUCCUCUUGCUUUAGACUGCAAAUCUCUAACUUCUCGAAGAUAAAGCCUAACUGCACGAGCUCCAAAUGGGUUGGCUUCUGGUUUUCCUCCAUUUUCUUCAAAGGCUGCUCUGAGACGCCCGAUAAGGGCGUCGAGGCUACCCCAAGCUUGCCGGAGUGGACAUGGACAUGGUGCAG
rnacentral:lncRNA from 1 species